AGGCUUUGUCCCUGCUGCAUUUAAAAUUACAUCUAAUCUUAUCAAGGCGCUCGUCAUUGUUUCUGGCGGCCUGGAGCAGCUAGAAACCAUCAGUGACAUCACUCUAAGUGCUAAAUGAAAACUCAGAUUUUGACAGAGAGGCUAAAUAUGGGACGAUCUUGCAGGUUGGAAGUUUUAAGGAUGAAGAAACUAAGAUCAAAUGACUUGAAUGAAGGCAUCCCAGAGGACCUAGAGUGAUCCCCACCCCCAUCCUCUCAGCAACAUCUGCAUUUGCCUUCAUUAUUCGCCAACGUUUUCAGUGAGGAUGAGAAGGAAAGGACAUCUUUACUCCUUCCACCUCUGAGAAUUUCUAGGUACUCCGGCCUCAGGAAGCUACCUGAGGGACAGAAGAUGUAGGUUGUUACUGAUGUCAUAGCAUUGCACAGCUUUCCUCUGCCCUUUUGCACCUUUACUUUUUGCCUUCAUAUUUUUUCUCUAUGCCAUACAAAUACCACAAGCCCU
rnacentral:lncRNA from 1 species